UAGGGAAUCUUCGGCAAUGGACGAAAGUCUGACCGAGCAACGCCGCGUGAGUGAAGAAGGUUUUCGGAUCGUAAAACUCUGUUGUUAGAGAAGAACAAGGACGUUAGUAACUGAACGUCCCCCGACGGUAUCUAACCAGAAAGCCACGUCUAACUACGUGCCAGCAGCCGCGGUAAUACGUAGGUGGCAAGCGUUGUCCGGAUUUAUUGGGCGUAAAGCGAGCGCAGGCGGUUUCUUAAGUCUGAUGUGAAAGCCCCCGGCUCAACCGGGGAGGGUCAUUGGAAACUGGGAGACUUGAGUGCAGAAGAGGAGAGUGGAAUUCCAUGUGUAGCGGUGAAAUGCGUAGAUAUAUGGAGGAACACCAGUGGCGAAGGCGGCUCUCUGGUCUGUAACUGACGCUGAGGCUCGAAAGCGUGGGGAGCAAACAGG
rnacentral:rRNA from 1 species